GUGGGGGCGGGGCGGGGGCUGUGGGGGGGCUAUGGGGUCGCUAUGGGGUCUGUGGGGUGGGUAUGGGGUCUGUGGGUAUGGGGUAUGUGGAGUGGCUAUGGGGUCGCUACGGGGUCUGUGGGUAUGGGGUCUGUGGGGUGGCUAUGGGGCAGAUAUGGGGUCUGUGGGGUGGCUAUGGGGCAGAUAUGGGGUCUGCGGGGUGGCUAUGGGGUCUGUGGGAUGGCUGUGUGGUCUGUGGGGUGGCUGUGGGGUCUAUGGGGUCUGUGGGUAUGGGGUAUGUGGAGUGGCUAUGGGGCAGAUAUGGGGUCUGUGGGGUCGCUAUGGGGUCUGUGGCUAUGGGGUCUGUGGGUAUGGGGUCUGUGGGGUGGCUAUGGGGUCGCUAUGGGGUCUGUGGGUAUGGGGUCUGUGGGUAUGGGGUCUGUGGGGUGGCUAUGGGGCAGAUAUGGGGUCUGUGGAUAUGGGGUCUGUGGGGUGGCUAUGGGGUCUGUGGCUAUGGGGUCUGUGGGUAUGGGGUCUGUGGGGUGGCUAUGGGGUCGCUAUGGGGUCUGUGGGUAUGGGGUCUGUGGGUAUGGGGUCUGUGGGGUGGCUAUGGGGCAGAUAUGGGGUCUGUGGGUAUGGGGUCUGUGGGGUGGCUAUGGGGCAGAUAUGGGGUCUGUGGGGUGGAUAUGGGGCAGAUAUGGGGUCUGCGGGGUGGGUAUGGGGUCGCUAUGGGGUCUGUGGGGUGGCUAUGGGGUCUGUGGGAUGGCUGUGGGGUCUGUGGGGUGGCUGUGGGGUCUAUGGGGUCUAUGGGUAUGGGGUCUGUGGGGUGGCUAUGGGGCAGAUAUGGGGUCUGUGGGGUGGCUAUGGGGUCGCUGUGGGGUCUGUGGGGUGGCUAUGGGGUCUGUGGGUAUGGGGUCUGUGGGGUGGCUGUGGGGCAGAUAUGGGGUCUGUGGGUAUGGGGUCUGUGGGGUGGCUGUGGGGCAGAUAUGGGGUCUGUGGGGUGGCUAUGGGGCAGAUAUGGGGUCUGUGGGGUGAGUAUGGGGCAGUUAUGGGGUCUGUGAGGUGGGUAUGGGGCAGAUAUGGGGUCUGUGGGAUGGCUCUGGGGUCUGUGGGUAUGGGGUCUGUGGGGUGGCUAUAGGGUCGCUAUGGGGUCUGUGGCUAUGGGGCAGAUACAGGGUCUGUGGGGUGGGCAUGGGGCAGUUAUGGGGUCUGUGAGGUGGACUUGGGGCAGAUAUGGGGUCUGUGGGUAUGGGGUCUGUGGGGUGGCUAUGGGACAGAUAUGGGGUCUGUGGGGUGAGUAUGGGGCAGUUACGGGGUCUGUGGGGUGGCUAUGGGGCAGAUACGGGGUCUGUGGGGUGGCUAUGGGGUCUGUGGGUAUGGAGUCUGUGAGUAUGGGGUAUGUGGGGUGGCUGUGGGGUCUGUGGCUAUGGGGUCUGUGGGGUGGCUAUGGGGUGGCUAUGGGGUCUGUGGGGGGGUUAUAGGGUCACUAUGGGGUCUGUGGGGUGGCUAUGGGGUCUAUGGGUAUGGGGUCUCUGGGGUGGCUAUGGGGUCUGUGGGGUGGCAAUGGGGCAGAUAUGGGAUUAUGGGGCAGAUAUAGGGUCUAUGGGUUUGUUAUGGGGCUGUGGGGUGAUAAUGGGGCCUGUGGGGUGGUUAUGGGGAAGAUAUGGGAUUAUGGGGUAGAUACUGGGUCUAUGGGGUGGUUAUGGGGCAGAUAUGGGAUUAUGGGGUGGAUAUAGGGUCUAUGGGAUGGUUAUGUGGCAGAUACGGGGUCUAUGGGGCGGUUCUGCGGUCUGUGGGGCGAUGUGGGGCAGUUGGGGGUCUAAUAAGGGGGCUGUGGGGUCGUUAUGGGGCAGAUACGGGGUCUAUGGGGCAGAUACGGGGUCUGUGG
ensembl:lncRNA